ensembl:lncRNA
UGUCCGAUGCCGAGGCGGUGCCUGAUGCGGUGGCUGAGGCGGUUCCCGAUGCAAUGUCCGAUGCCGAGGCGGUGCCCGAUGCCGAGGCGGUGCCUGAUGCGGUGGCCGAGGCGGUUCCCGAUGCAAUGUCCGAUGCCGAGGCGGUGCCCGAUGCGGUGCCAGAGACGGUGCCAGAGACGGUUCCCGAUGUAAUGCCCGAGACCGAGGCUGUUCCGGAGGUCGAGGCGGUGCCCGAUGUUGUUCCCGAUGCCGAGGCGGUGCCCGAUGUUGUU